CCAAGUCCACAGAACUCAGUGGAGCCCCAGCCCUACCUCGGCUACCCUCAGCUGAGAACAGCUUCAGUUUGGGCGUACAGUCCUCUUUGUGUGCUGGACCUUCUGCCUCUGAAAAUCUUUUUUUCCUUAUAUAUCCUUAAGUUUUUUCAAUUUUUUUUUUUUUUUCCCCAAAGGACUGAACUUGAAAGCAGCAGUUUGGGGUUCAGACCUGGGCUUGGCCACGUAAUGGUUAGCACCUGACAAAUGCUUCCUCCUCCUCACCUGCUUCCAGACUUUCAUCCCCCACAGACGGAAGUGGGGCACCGGUUCCGCAUCAGGAUGAUAGGCAGCCAGCAGGCCUGGCUUCCCAGGCCUCGACGCCACCCCUCUGCCACGGCUCCUCGGCUGACAAUCAGGAUGAGAGGGCAUCUGCAUACUGGCUGCUGGACCCUCUUCCCGCCGACCAUUAAAAGACUUGACCAAGA